ensembl:lncRNA
GGAGACGUGUGUGUGUGUGUGUGUGUGUGUGUGUGUGUAUAAAGUUUUAAUUUUGACUGUGUGAGAGAGAGGGGAGGAAGAGAGUAAGGGAGCACUGAGACAGGCUGAGAACAAAAGAGAGAAAGGGGGGGGGGGGGGGUGUGCAUAUGUGACUGUGUAUGAUGUGGCUUUUUGCAGUAACAUAGUAACAUUUUUGGCUCUUAACCUCUGACUGGUUGGCCACCCCUGGUCUACUCUGUAGGCCUCCAGCCCGGCCUCCCGAGCGACUACUCCGUCGGCCUCCAGCCCGGCCUCCCGAGGUUUGUCAUGAUCUUGGUUUCUGUUUCCUGUUUUUUUUAAAUGUUCCCUUCCCCUUGUGUCAUGUCUGGUAUUACUUCCUGCCCUUGUGUUUUCUGCCUUUCUCCCCCAGCUGUGUCUCGUUCCCUCAUUUCGUGUCUGUGUAUAUAUCCCUGUCUGUCUCAGUGUUCUUUGUCUGAUUGUGAUUCAUGUUACGUGUUUGUUACCUGCCCAUGUCUACCCGUAUCUGCCUGUUCGUGUCCUGCUCGUCCCCUGAUUGUUGGAGCACGGCUACACAGGAAGUGCGGUCCCCAGUGAUGUGGAUCUAUAGUCCUGAAGGCUCGGGAGUAGCAGGAUGUUGUUCGACCUGAUGGUGUGCAUGGAGAGUUUGUGGGGUUCAAGGUUUCUUGAGGCAAGGUUUGUUUUUCUUUGCACUGUGAAGUCAGGACAUCACGUUUGAAUUCUGUCCUGCAGGAGACAGAAAACCAGAGCUGUGGUGCUGGACUCUGAGAAAUGUAUUGUUUACAUGUUCUUGUCAGCACUGAUCUGGAUGUACUGGAGCUCCUGGAGACUUAUGCAAGACAUAACAACACAUAUACCUGAAGGGGAUAAAAGCCCUCAACCUGCUUCGCUGACUGACAAAUGGCCUUCAGAUGGUGAAAGGACGCUUUCAAGAGUUGCAUUGUGGCUAUAAAAAAGCUUGUGGUUGAUCAAUAGAGAAAACAAAGUAACUGUUCCAUCAUGUUUAAUCAGGAAGUUGUUCGUGAUGCAACGCAAAGAUUUUUGGACAUGUCAGUUGGGACCUCUCAAAGUUUCUGAAAGUGGUACUGUAGGACAAAGCCUCUGGUGUAAAGGUUGGCAUCUUAAAAUGAGGGCUGCAGAAAGAGUUUUAAAGGAUUGAUUACUUGAACAAUUUUGAUGUUUCUAAUUGAAUGAAAAUUCCCCAAUCGAUCUUUUAGUGACAUCAGUUAUUUAUUAGAUGGCUGGAGGCAAAAUGACAAAGCUGCAGAUGUGAUACGCUGCAAUGACUCGAUGUCAUUGUAAAUGAGGGUCACCCCUCAAUGAUGUCUCGAGUAUAAAUAAAGGUUGAGUGAUUGAAUUCAUUCGCCAAAGAAAGAGACCAAGCAAGAAGUUAAAGAUGCAUUUGAGUGAUAGUAUUUGUUUUCUUCAAUUUUUAUAUAGAUAUCCCAAAGAUACUGUUAUCGUGAAUCUUUUUGGCCACCAUAAUCUGAUAUUGUGACAGACCUGCUUCAAUUUCUACAAGCAGAUUUUGUAGUAAAAUAUGUUGCCACGGGCUGUUUUGUAACUUGGUGAAUACAUUCAUUAAAAACAUUUAUCCUCCUUAUGCUGAUUUGUUUUGCAAAUUAGUGUGUGUGUGUAUAUAUAAUGGUAAUUUAUAGGAGACAGGGUUGCUAGAACACACGAUGCAGCGAAACACAAGAAAUUGUCUUCUCAAAGAGAGGUGAAUAAAAGUAAAUUGGGUUACUUUGGCUUGUUGCUGUAGGAUAGUAGAUAUAAUGUUAUUUGAAAUUGGGUUUAAGACUGAGCUGAC